GAUGAACGCUGGCGGCGUGCCUAAUACAUGCAAGUCGAGCGAACAGACGAGGAGCUUGCUCCUCUGACGUUAGCGGCGGACGGGUGAGUAACACGUGGAUAACCUACCUAUAAGACUGGGAUAACUUCGGGAAACCGGAGCUAAUACCGGAUAAUAUAUUGAACCGCAUGGUUCAAUAGUGAAAGACGGUUUUGCUGUCACUUAUAGAUGGAUCCGCGCCGCAUUAGCUAGUUGGUAAGGUAACGGCUUACCAAGGCAACGAUGCGUAGCCGACCUGAGAGAGUGAUCGGCCACACUGGAACUGAGACACGGUCCAGACUCCUACGGGAGGCAGCAGUAGGGAAUCUUCCGCAAUGGGCGAAAGCCUGACGGAGCAACGCCGAGUGAGUGAUGAAGGUCUUCGGAGCGUAAAACUCUGUUAUUAGGGAAGAACAAAUGUGUAAGUAACUAUGCACGUCUUGACGGUACCUAAUCAGAAAGCCACGGCUAACUACGUG
rnacentral:rRNA from 1 species